UGGGGAAUAUUGGACAAUGGGGGCAACCCUGAUCCAGCGAUGCCGCGUGUGUGAAGAAGGCCUGCGGGUUGUAAAGCACUUUAGUUGGGGAGGAAAGGUAUGUACUGCAUAAGUGCAUGCUGUGACGUUACCCAAAGAAUAAGCACCGGCAAACUCUGUGCCAGCAGCCGCGGUAAUACAGAGGGUGCAAGCGUUAAUCGGAAUUACUGGGCGUAAAGCGCGCGUAGGUGGUUAGUUAAGUUGGAUGUGAAAUCCCCGGGCUCAACCUGGGAACUGCAUUCAAAACUGACUGACUAGAGUAUGGUAGAGGGUGGUGGAAUUUCCUGUGUAGCGGUGAAAUGCGUAGAUAUAGGAAGGAACACCAGUGGCGAAGGCGACCACCUGGACUGAUACUGACGCUGAGGCGCGAAAGCUAGGGUAGCAAACGGGAUUAGAUACCCAUGUAGUCCCUGAGCGGGCUGGCAAGGCGCAU
rnacentral:rRNA from 1 species